ACUGGUAUGAACGGCUAAAUGAGGGCAAACCUGUCUCCUAUGACCAAUCAGUGAAACUGAUCUCCCAGUCCAAAAGCUGGAAUAUAACCACAAGACGAGAAGACCCUGUGGAGCUUAAAAUCUAUUACCAACACCCCGUGGUAAAAAAUUUUGAGUUGGGGCGACUUCGGAAUAAAACAAAACUUCCGAGCACAGAACCACUACUUCUAACCAAGGCAGACAUGCCAAAGAACAAAUCGACCCAGUCAUACUGAUCAACGAACCAAGUUACCCCAGGGAUAACAGCGCCAUCUUCUUUAAGAGUCCAUAUCGACAAGAAGGUUUACGACCUCGAUGUUGGAUCAGGACACCCAAAUGGUGCAGCCGCUAUUAAAGGUUCGUUUGUUCAACGAUUAACAGU
rnacentral:rRNA from 1 species